CGUACACUCCUGCGGGAGGCAGCAGUGGGGAAUAUUGGACAAUGGGCGCAAGCCUGAUCCAGCCAUGCCGCGUGAGUGAUGAAGGCUCUAGGGUUGUAAAGCUCUUUCACCGGUGAAGAUAAUGACGGUAACCGGAGAAGAAGCCCCGGCUAACUUCGUGCCAGCAGCCGCGGUAAUACGAAGGGGGCUAGCGUUGUUCGGAUUUACUGGGCGUAAAGCGCACGUAGGCGGACUAUUAAGUCAGGGGUGAAAUCCCGGGGCUCAAUCCCGGAACUGCCUUUGAUACUGGUAGUCUUGAGUUCGAGAGAGGUGAGUGGAAUUCCGAGUGUAGAGGUGAAAUUCGUAGAUAUUCGGAGGAACACCAGUGGCGAAGGCGGCUCACUGGCUCGAUACUGACGCUGAGGUGCGAAAGCGUGGGGAGCAAACAGGAUUAGAUACCCUAGUAGUCCCAUGA
rnacentral:rRNA from 1 species